rnacentral:rRNA from 1 species
UACGUAGGGUGCGAGCGUUAAUCGGAAUUACUGGGCGUAAAGCGUGCGUAGGCGGUUCGUUAAGUUCGUUGUGAAAGCCCCGGGCUCAACCUGGGAAUGGCAAUGGAAACUGGCGGGCUUGAGUAUGGCAGAGGGGGGUGGAAUUCCGCGUGUAGCAGUGAAAUGCGUAGAGAUGCGGAGGAACACCGAUGGCGAAGGCAGCCCCCUGGGCCAAUACUGACGCUCAGGCACGAAAGCGUGGGGAGCAAACGGG